CUGCGCACGCGCCCCGCGCCGCCGCCGGCAGCCCGCGCGCGCGGGGACGGAGGGGGAGGGGCUGGCGCGCGGGACGGGCGCUGUGAGGGGACAGCAGGGUACCCUGGAACUGCGGGGACAAACCGGCGGAGCUGCCGGGGACAAACCGGCGAGGCCUCCCGCGAAAAGGUGCCGGUGAAGGGGACAGUUUGUCCCUGCGGUCCCUCUUCCCGGCACCGCCAGGGCUGCGUGAGGCCGAGGGCAGGAGCGAGGACCCCGCGGCCCCGUGUGGCAGGAGCAGCUCCGGGGGCUCCAGCGGUGACACCCGAGGCGUUCGCCCUCAGCUCUGCGCGGGGAGACCGGAGGAGCUGCUUUGCUUCCGAGCAGCUCGUUCCAGCCGAGUGACAACUGAGCCAUCCAGCCCUUGAGCAACUGUCUGUGACAGUAUCGCAGACCCUGAGCAUGGGGCCUGGCAAUGCAAAAACAUUCAGCAAAACAGCUGCCUUGUUGAAUAGAAUGCUUAAUAAAUCCAUAAUACACAA